ACAGGCCAGGAGGACAAGCAGGAGAGAGGGUGUACAGGGCAAGUGGCUGAGGUGCCUUGGGACGGGGCAGGGGGCAAUGGGGAGUCAUGUGAGGUGUCUCUAGGGGCCCCCUCCAGGCAGUGGGCCCCCCAGACAACUGUCUCCCCUUGCCUAAUUGUAAUUCCACCCAUGGCUUUAUAGGCAUUGUAGUUGGCAAUGAGCUUUUUUUUUUUUUUUUUUAGCCUCAAUGCAAUCAGGGUCAAAUCAUGGUUUGCAGCGGUGCAGGUGCCAUUUGGGGCAUAUUUUUGUGGGUUAGAAGCUUUUGUAACUCCUGCACUAGAUUGCUGUAGCUCUCUAGGAUUGAAUUGGAAGACUCUGCUGAGAGCAGGGAGAAGCAGAUGCACCGGAAUUGUUCUGUGGUAAAUUCUGUUAUUGCUUUGUCCAGCUGCGGGGACCAUUUGAUGUGACAGGUUCUUCCUGCUGGUAGAACUUUGGUUGGUAUACAGCCUUGACGUGGGGCUGCUGGACAAAGGGUUUGAGGCAUAGGGAGACUGGGAAGUGGUCACUGUAAAAUUGGGGUAUUACCUCAAAGUGAUCUGCAAAUUGGAGCAAUUACAUAAUCAAUGACACUCAUUUUGUUCUAGCCCAGAAGGUAAAUUCAGUAGGGUGGUCAAUUUUGAGGGAGCUGUUUAGGAUGUAGAGACUGUCUGUUAGCCAUUUCGGCCAGGCAAAGCCCUGCAUAGUUUGGUUUCUUGUUCUUUGAGUGGCAUGUGAGGGGGACUGCAUCUGCUUCAGGAUUAGGCUGGCAGCACUGAUAACAUGCAUAUAGAGUGUCAUUGUCAGGGCCUAGUCUGGUGUGAAGAUUGCUGCCUACCACUGUAUAUGCGUUGGGGAGGGUAGAGUGGAGGUCAGUUAUGCCGCUUUCCAGUUCAGACCACAUUUGCCUGACUUGGGAUUUUUGCCUUGGUGGAGGUAGGUUGAUGUUGAUUACUAACAGGGUACAGUGUCUGAAGUGGAUUGUCACUUCACAACAGCCAUAGCAUGUUGCUUAAAUUAGGAAAGUCUUACUGACGUUGCACGUAGGGUGGUAGAGACUAAUACUCCCAGUCCACCUUUAGGUGCCCCUUCCUGCACCGGCUUCUGCUCCCAAUCACAAUGCGUAUGAGCUGAAGCUGUUGAGUGUGAGGUCUAUGUCCAGGUUGCCUGCAUUGUUAUGACAUCAUAUCUGGAGAUGAUCUAUGAAGGUGGCGUCCCUGCAGCUGGCAUGCCAACAUGCCACAUUCCAGGUCAGGAGGCAGACCUCAUGCUGGCCUUUUGAAUGUCAGUCUGUAGUUUAAUUAGCAGGGAACUGUGUAGAGGUACCCAGUGAGGUAUCUUGAGGAGUGAUGGUUGAAACCUGAACAGUUAGGCAGGGCUAUGCCUCAGCACGUGAUUAAGCAUGGAGAGUGGGGAGAUAUGCUUACUCAUGAGGAAAGGAAGGGUGGAUUCCAGCAUUCUGAAUAAAAUCGAGCCUUUCCUAGCAGCUAACCUGCAUUCAGUGAAGGUCCCUAUGAUUCCAUGAAAGCAAGUUGUUCUGGACAGAACGUAGCAUUUUCGAACAAACAUUUGGCAAAAUGUUUUACUGCAGCCUCACAAAAAUUAUAGUCUGUAGGAGGAAGUGCACACAGCUACAUGCAGAAGCUGCAGCUAUUAAUCAGUCAGUGAACAGUGAAAUCCGACCUCAGGCUUCUUCC